CUCCUGUCAGUAACUGCAGGUGUCCACUCCCAGGUCCAGCUGCAGCAGUCUGGAGCUGAGCUGGUGAAGCCUGGGGCCUCAGUGAAGCUGUCCUGCAAGGCUUCUGGCUACACCUUCACAAGCUAUGGUAUACACUGGGUGAAGCAGAGGCCUGGACAGGGCCUUGAGUGGAUUGGAUAUAUUAAUCCUUCCAGUGGUGGUACUAUAUACAAUGAGAAGUUCAAGAGCAAGGCCACAUUGACUGCAGACAAAUCCUCCAACACAGCCUACAUGCAGCUCAACAGCCUGGCAUCUGAGGACUCUGCGGUCUAUUUCUGUGCAAGACACAAGUAUAGUACUCUACAACUUCACUGUAUGCCUAACUGCAUGGAAGCUAAUGACCAGCAGGGGGCACAAUGA